GACAAACUAACCUAGAGAUCUAAAGUGGCGGGAACCAAGUGUCAGAAACCACCAGAAGACUAUAGUACUAACCCUAAUUUUCAGAAACAAUUCUCAAUCCAUUUUCAUCGUCCUAUUUAUACAAAAACUUAGCAAAGAUAGCACCGAAAGAAAGCUUUGAAGAUUUAUCAAUCUCAACAUCAAAGAGGAGCAUCGGAAGACAACGACGAGUGAAGGUUG